UCCCUGGCUGAAGUUCUCAGAGGGGUACACAGAGGUAGGAGAGAGCUAAGGACAAGGCCAAGGGGCACUUAGGGUGACAGGACAUAGCCACAGCUUGGGGACAGUGGCCAGAUGCUGGAGACAUUCAUAUGGCAGGAAGGGACGCACAGGACACAACCACAGCCCAAGGACAUGGGGGGCAACAAAAGGGACCUUGCUCAGACCACUGGGACCACAGUGCCGUGGGUGAACACACUGCCACCCACCUAGUGAAAGCUGUGUCCUUGCUGCAGCUAUGUCUCCAAAGGGCUUUAGUCAGUGCCAGAACCCACAGAUCCCCUAUACAGGGCAAAACUACAGAAUUCUGCAUCAAUCAAUCGUCAGGAGCUUCCAUUCACUGACAACGUCACGGCGCACCAGGCACAGGCAGUGCGCGGUCGCAGCUGCCCCAGCUUGGGCGUGGCCCAGGGGCCCCCCCAGACCUUCCAGCAGCCGCGCAGCCCCACUGAAACUGCGUCCCAGUGCCUCAGCCAUUGCGCCCCGCAGUCGCCCCUCGCCCGCCCCCAGCCGCUGCUGCAGCAGUGAGGGGCCCCCCCUGGACACCCCUGGCAGCGGCAUCCGGGCCGCACUGUCCUCUUCCUCCUCCUCCUCGGUCUCCGACGCCUCCCCCGGAACCUUCAGCCCCACUGCGGGAGUCCCGGCUGUGUUCCCCCCCGGCUCCGGCUCUGAGUCGCUCUCCGAGGCCUCGCCCAGCACCAGCGUGGGGGAAAGAGGGACGGCCAUGGUCUGCGAGAGGGGAAUAAAAGGGAGGAGGGGGAGUCGGGGGGAAAACGGCCCCACCAGGCACGGAGACCCCCGGCUCUUUCUCCCGAGUCUCAGAGGAAUACUGCGCACAACAGGCCCGUGCCCCCUCAGCCUCGUGAGACCCCCAC
ensembl:lncRNA